CCCUUAGAUGUUCUGGGCUGCACGCGUGCUACACUGAUUAUUUCAACAAGUGUUUUAACUGGAGAGUUUGCGUAAUCCUGAAAUGCUAUCGUGAUGGGAGUAGAGUGUUGUAUUUGUUAAUCUUUAACGAGGAAUUCCUAGUAAGUGUAGGUUUAUAAGUUGUUCUGAUUACGUCCCUGCCCUUUGUACACACCGCCCGUCGCUCCUACCGAUUGAUUGAUCCGGUGAAUUACAUAGAAUUUUGCGUUUUACAUGACGGAAGAUGAAGUGUUUUAAACCUUAUCAUUUAGAGGAAGGAGAAGUCGUAACA
rnacentral:rRNA from 1 species